CACUUUUGUGGAGAGGCAGAAACAUUUGAAGACACUGGAGGAGAGACUGAAACAUUUGAAGACUCUGAAGUUCUUUGGAUUGCUUGUGACUACUGCGGGCGGUGGUUCCACUUAAAAUGUGUGGGCAAUCCAUCUACAGAGAAAGAAUACAAAUGUGUUUCUUGCAAUAAAUGACUCAGUUAUGAA